GAGGAGAGGAGAGGAGAGGAGAGGAGAGGAGAGGAGAGGAGAGGAGAGGAGAAUAUUAUACAUUCAAAUUUAGUGUUAAGGUCAACAAUGGAAAUUCCUGUCUUUGACUUAUUUUGUUCAGGACAUCUUUCAGAAUGAAGAUGAUGAAGGUCUAGUGGUAUGAUGACCAGAGAUGGGGAGAGUAACAGCUGGAAAGACAAAGACAAAACUCACCGUAUUCAUAUCAACUGUUCCUGUAACACCACCAUCAACUGAAGGAUUAGAAGAGGGAAAUGCCCUUGAAAAGGGGAACUGUGAAGAGACUAUUCCUGGAAAGCUGUAUCUGGGCAGUGAAAAGGAGCAAGUAGGCAUUAUCAGCUUCCAUCACCCAGUGAAGUUGUCUCCAGGCAAUGAUCAAAGGAAAUUGUGCAGCUGCCUUUUAAGUCUAUUACACAACAAGAAUUCCAGGAUUUUGAUUUCAUUUCAGAGGUAGGUCACAACUUCUCAAUCUAGUCCUUCCUAUUUCUCUGCCUUUGAACUUUAUUUUAGUGCCUGAAAUGUUAAGCUGUUCAUCUUCCUGGCUGGUAGCUCAAAUACCAUGCAAGCAUCACUUUAUAGUUUUAUGGGGUUUUUGAGUAUUAGUUCAGCUGAAGCAGAUGAGUUUCCUGGAGGGGAAACUGAAGGAAGGGGAGACAAGAAAGAACAAAAUCUUGAAAAUUUCUAAUGCAAGUGAGGAAUGGAAAGCAAGGUAUCACCAGAAGAUAAACCUUACUGGGAUAAGGAACUGAAGGGAAAUUUGAGAGGUUAGAGAAAUAUUUACAGAGUCAAAAUGUAAACUACUAGAGGAAAAAAAAAAUGCAGUCAAAAGGAAUGUAAAAUCACUGUGCGAUUUUAUUCAUUUUUAAAUAAGGAUUAGAAAUUACUUGAAUUGCAACUGGUGCCACUAAUCUCUCAGCUGUUGUGUUUUAGCCACAUAAACUAGUGUACAAUAGUGGCAAUUAUUGUUCACUUAUAUAUUUUUUAAACUCAUUAAUUAUUCUAUGGCUUCCAGUUUAACAUUCUACUCCCUACCUAGUAUUGAAACUUGUUUAGAAAAAGGGAGCUGUUUAAUUGGACAAAGACAAUCCAUGCAAGUUCUACACAAAGGUAUAAAGUAUUGUUAUCUAAAACAGUUUUGUUUUGUUUUUAACAGAAUAAGCAAGCCUCCAGUGCAGAGUUCAUGGACAAAAACGUAUUUAGUAUUACAAAAUCUGUCUUGAGAUCUAAAGGGCACAGCUAAGUAUGUUUCUGUUGUGUGUUUCUUCCACCACAGUUAGAACAACGACAAUUCCAGUCUUAGUGGAAAUUACAGUGAUGCUUUUCAUCAAUUUCCGAGAAUAAUGUCUGGCAAAGUGGCUCCAGUCAUCUUUCCUAAGGCAGCUACUGUGAGCAUAGCUUGGUACUGACUUUGUGCUAACAGAGGUAUUAAAAGGUUUGCUCCUGGAGAAGCAAAUGAAAUGCUUCAGGACACAAAGGCAGCAGAGCAUACAGAAAGCUAGUAGAUUUUAGAGGCAAUCGUAUACUGAGGAAUUAAUAAUUCUCACUGACUGAAUCGUGUACUAGGUAGUCAACAUAGUCAAAUACCAUUUAUUUCUACAUAUCUUUACGAAAUAAAAGUUUUGGCAAUUUCA
rnacentral:lncRNA from 1 species